GACGAACGCUGGCGGCGUGCUUAACACAUGCAAGUCGAACGACGAAGCCCAGCUUGCUGGGUGGAUUAGUGGCGAACGGGUGAGUAACACGUGGGCAACCUGCCCCAAACUCUGGGAUAACUCCUCGAAAGAGGUGCUAAUACCGGAUACGAACUAGACAGACAUCUGUACUAGUUGGAAAGUUUUUCGGUUUGGGAUGGGCCCGCGGCCUAUCAGCUUGUUGGUGAGGUAACGGCUCACCAAGGCUACGACGGGUAACCGGCCUGAGAGGGCGAACGGUCACACUGGGGCUGAGACACGGCCCAGACUCCUACGGGAGGCAGCAGUGGGGAAUAUUGCGCAAUGGGCGAAAGCCUGACGCAGCGACGCCGCGUGAGGGAUGAAGGUCUUCGGGUCGUAAACCUCUUUCAGUAGGGACGAAGCGAAAGUGACGGUACCUAAAGAAGAAGCACCGGCUAACUACGUGCCAGCAGCCGCCGCGG
rnacentral:rRNA from 1 species